UACAGCCACAUCAUGUUGAAACAGCAGUUCCUGUAUGAUCACCAAAGUUAAACAAUGUUGAGUUUGAUUAGUACCUAGAUGGCUGACUGUUUGGGAAUACCAGGUGCUGCAG